UACGGGGGGGAGCAAGCGUUGUUCGGAUUUACUGGGCGUAAAGCGUGCGCAGGCGGUUUGCUAAGACAGGUGUGAAAUCCCCGGGCUUAACCUGGGAACUGCGCUUGUUACUGGCAAGCUAGAGUGUGGCAGAGGGGGGUGGAAUUCCAGGUGUAGCAGUGAAAUGCGUAGAGAUCUGGAGGAACACCGAUGGCGAAGGCAGCCCCCUGGGCUAACACUGACGCUCAUGCACGAAAGCGUGGGGAGCAAACAGG
rnacentral:rRNA from 1 species